ACAGCAAUGUGAAGACAAAUGGGGACACCUGUGUGCGUUGGCUGACUUCGCCAUCGCCCUCAACGAGAGCAUCCAGGAGAUCAACAAGCACUCGUUCAACAACUUCGAGCUGAGGAUCGGUAUGGCCCACGGCUCGGUGGUGGCCGGUGUGAUCGGAG